rnacentral:rRNA from 1 species
AUACAUGCAAGUCGAGCGGACAGAUGGGAGCUUGCUCCCUGAUGUUAGCGGCGGACGGGUGAGUAACACGUGGGUAACCUGCCUGUAAGACUGGGAUAACUCCGGGAAACCGGGGCUAAUACCGGAUGCUUGUUUGAACCGCAUGGUUCAAACAUAAAAGGUGGCUUCGGCUACCACUUACAGAUGGACCCGCGGCGCAUUAGCUAGUUGGUGAGGUAAUGGCUCACCAAGGCAACGAUGCGUAGCCGACCUGAGAGGGUGAUCGGCCACACUGGGACUGAGACACGGCCCAGACUCCUACGGGAGGCAGCAGUAGGGAAUCUUCCGCAAUGGACGAAAGUCUGACGGAGCAACGCCGCGUGAGUGAUGAAGGUUUUCGGAUCGUAAAGCUCUGUUGUUAGGGAAGAACAAGUACCGUUCGAAUAGGGCGGUACCUUGACGGUACCUAACCAGAAAGCCACGGCUAACUACGUGCCAGCAGCCGCGGUAAUACGUAUGUGGCAAGCGUUGUCCGGAAUUAUUGGGCGUAAAGGGCUCGCAGGCGGUUUCUUAAGUCUGAUGUGAAAGCCCCCGGCUCACCCGGGGAGGGUCAUUGGGAACUGGGGAACUUGAGUGCAGAAGAGGAGAGU